UACGGGGGGGGCUAGCGUUGUUCGGAAUUACUGGGCGUAAAGGGCGCGUAGGCGGUCUGCUAAGUUGGAUGUGAAAACUCUGGGCUUAACCCAGAGCCUGCAUUCAAUACUGACAGGCUAGAGUUCUGGAGGGGAUAGCGGAAUUCCGGGUGGAGUGGUGAAAUGCGUAGAGAUCCGGAGGAACACCAGAGGCGAAGGCGGCCUACUGGGCUGCACCUGACGCUGAGCCGCGAAAGCCAGGGGAGCGAACGGG
rnacentral:rRNA from 1 species